CAAUGGAAAAGGAAGCUGUGGGUGGAGACACAUCUGACGGGAGGGAUUUGGAUCCUGCCAGCUCGUCCCUGCAACCCCCUACUCCGGUCCCCUCAAACCUGUCCGUGGCUGGCAGCCCUGUGAUACCUCGCCACAUUCUGCAACAGAAUCCGAGAUAGAGGUAGAAGUGGGGGAGUACGUCGUGGCUGUCAGGGCAGCUUUCUGUAAAAUGCUGCCUGGAGGAGCAUGUGAUUCCAGACCCUCCUCUCUGCAACGAAAGUGAGGUUGACACCUGCAGGCCUGGGGCCUCCUGGCCCACUGAGCAGAACACACAGAAGCUGGGCCCACCCCUGCCCUCCCCACAAAGGGUCACGGGAGCCACCGCCUGACUUUGAAGCCCACUGACUUGCGGCUGACAAGAGAAAAGAAUGUGCCCCUGUGAUCAUGUGAAAGCAUCAGCCAGGGGUCCAAGAACUUCCCUCUGGAGCCUCACACUCCCAGCGUGGCACCCAGCAGGGAACAGAUUCUCUCCAAACCUUUGUGAAUGAAUGAAGGAUGACGUCACUAGAAUCCAUCCCUGUUUUAUUUUUUAUUUUUAUUUUUUGAGACAGAGUCUCGCUCUGUUGUUGCCCAGGCU
rnacentral:lncRNA from 1 species